rnacentral:rRNA from 1 species
GACGAACGCUGGCGGCGUGCCUAAUACAUGCAAGUUGAGCGCUGAAGGUUGGUACUUGUACCAACUGGAUGAGCAGCGAACGGGUGAGUAACGCGUGGGGAAUCUGCCUUUGAGCGGGGGACAACAUUUGGAAACGAAUGCUAAUACCGCAUAAAAACUUUAAACACAAGUUUUAAGUUUGAAAGAUGCAAUUGCCUCACUCAAAGAUGAUCCCGCGUUGGAUUAGCUAGUUGGUGAGGUAAAGGCUCACCAAGGCGAUGAUACAUAGCCGACCUGAGAGGGUGAUCGGCCAAAUUGGGACUGAGACACGGCCCAAACUCCUACGGGAGGCAGCAGUAGGGAAUCUUCGGCAAUGGACGAAAGUCUGACCGAGCAACGCCGCGUGAGUGAAGAAGGUUUUCGGAUCGUAAAACUCUGUUGGUAGAGAAGAACGUUGGUGAGAGUGGAAAGCUCAUCAAGUGACGGUAACUACCCAGAAAGGGACGGCUAACUACGUG